rnacentral:lncRNA from 8 species
GCUGUUGCCAUGUAUUUUAUAAAUGUUUUAUAUAUCUCAUUGACAUCAUGAAAUAGGAAAAAACAAUAACACGUCAUUCAAUUGAUGCCUCGAAAGUUUCUACAUGAUUUCGUGAGUAUUUGUCAUUGAACAGGGGCUAUUUGUUUUGAUGUGGGUGCCACUUACCCCAUUAAACCCAGUCAGUGUGAGUGGGGUGCCACCUACCCCAUUAAACCCAGUCAGUGUGAGUGGGGUGCCGCAGACAGAUGCUGGUGUUGCGCAAUAAUGCAAGAUUCUUGACAACAUGACUGACCUUUCUGCCCCUCGGUUCUUAGCGGAAAACGUGCAAAACCCAGUGGGCCAGUUGACCUGUGACAAUCAGAAAGACCCCGUUGCAACUCUUGUGACGGACAGGUAUCCACGUUUAUCUGACAACAUUGAAAUUUGCCCACGUAUGGCGUCGGAUGACAUUUGGAAAGUGUGUGAAUUGGCACACUGCCAAGGAAUGAUUCUACCACAGCAGAGUUCAUAGAGGUCCACGUGCUGGACGGCAGUUCCACCACCAUAGUCAGCGCCAGCACCCAGACAGACUGGGAGUGGGUGGAGCAGGCACUCACAGACAGCUGUCAAGGUAGUCAGAAUGUCCGAUGGGUUUUGGGUUCGAAUGCGUCACACCUUUCUGCUGCUCUCCUCCUCUGACAACUCAAACAUCUGUCAGCACCUUCCUACAUUUAUUUCCUCUCUCAUAGUUCAAAGUAAAGUGGAGAGGUCUGAGCCAAAAGCCUCAUCACAGACAGUCCCCCAGAGUAUAGUUAUUGGGCCAGAUUCAGAGGUAAGGUAGGCUAAUGUAUAUAGCCUAUGGUAUAUGAUUAGUUAAUAGAAAACUGUUCAAUCACAGUAGGCUAUUCAAUCAACCAAUUUACUACCAACCCAACAAACUGAAACUAGAUGAAAACAAACUGAAGAAUUGAUAUGGUAUAACAGGGUUUAUCUUGUGUGUCCUCUUUGGAAGAAUGAAGAGACAGAUAUGGAGAAGGAAAAUGAGUUGUAUGGUAUACCUAAUGUGGGGCCACCUUCCAUGUUGGCCUACAAACCAGAGUCGAAACAACCCCCUGUUCAUUUUGAAAAGGUAAGCAACCUCAAGCACUUUGGAUGAGAAAUGAUACAAUGACUACAAAGUUAA